AGCAGCCACGGUAAUUCCAGCUCCAAUAGCGUAUAUUAAAGUUGUUGCAGUUAAAAAGCUCGUAGUUGAAUUUCGGGGUCAGUAGAUUGGUCGUGCCACUGGUAUGCACUGGCCUUGCUGAUUCCUCCUCUUGUAGAACCGUAAUGCCAUUAAGUUGGUGUUGCGGGUAAACAGGACUGUUACUUUGAAAAAUUGAGUGUUUAAAGCAAGCUAACGCUUGAAUACAUUAGCAUGGAAUAAUGAAAUAGGACGUUCGAUCCUAUUUUGUUGGUUUCUAGGAUUGACGUAAUGAUUAAUAGGGAUAGUUGGGGGCAUUAGUAUUCAAUUGUCAGAGGUG
rnacentral:rRNA from 1 species